UGCGUUAGUUUAGUGAAAGUGGCGAAAGGGUGAGUAACGCGUGAGCAACCUGCCUCUAUGUCGGGGACAACAGUUGGAAACGACUGCUAAUACCGGAUGUGGCUUCUUUAUCGCAUGUUGAAGAAGCUAAAGAUUUAUUGCAUAGAGGUGGGCUCGCGUUCCAUUAGCUAGUUGGUGAGGUAACGGCUCACCAAGGCGACGAUGGAUAGGUGGUCUGAGAGGACGAUCACCCACACUGGGACUGAGACACUGCCCAGACUCC
rnacentral:rRNA from 1 species